GACGAACGCUGGCGGCGUGCUUAACACAUGCAAGUCGAACGGAAAGGCCCUGCUUGCAGGGUACUCGAGUGGCGAACGGGUGAGUAACACGUGGGUGAUCUGCCCUGCACUUCGGGAUAAGCCUGGGAAACUGGGUCUAAUACCGGAUAGGAGCCAUUUUUAGUGUGAUGGUUGGAAAGUUUUUUUCGGUGUAGGAUGAGCUCGCGGCCUAUCAGCUUGUUGGUGGGGUAAUGGCCUACCAAGGCGGCGACGGGUAGCCGGCCUGAGAGAGUGGACGGCCACAUUGGGACUGAGAUACGGCCCAGACUCCUACGGGAGGCAGCAGUGGGGAAUAUUGCACAAUGGGCGCAAGCCUGAUGCAGCGACGCCGCGUGGGGGAUGACGGCCUUCGGGUUGUAAACUCCUUUCGCUAGGGACGAAGCUUUUUGUGACGGUACCUAGAUAAGAAGCACCGGCUAACUACGUG
rnacentral:rRNA from 1 species